GACGAACGCUGGCGGCGUGCUUAACACAUGCAAGUCGAACGGAAAGGCCCUGCUUUUGUGGGGUGCUCGAGUGGCGAACGGGUGAGUAACACGUGAGUAACCUGCCCUUGACUUUGGGAUAACUUCAGGAAACUGGGGCUAAUACCGGAUAGGAGCUCCUGCUGCAUGGUGGGGGUUGGAAAGUUUCGGCGGUUGGGGAUGGACUCGCGGCUUAUCAGCUUGUUGGUGGGGUAGUGGCUUACCAAGGCUUUGACGGGUAGCCGGCCUGAGAGGGUGACCGGCCCCAUUGGGCCUGCGAUACGCCCCAGACGCGUACGGUAGGCAGCAGUGGGGAAUAUUGCACAAUGGGCCGAAGCCUGAUGCAGCAACGCCGCGUGCGUGAUGCCGGUCUUCGGGUUGUAAACCGCUUUCGCCUGUGACGAAGCGUGAGUGACGGUAAUGGGUAAAGAAGCACCGGCUAACUACGUG
rnacentral:rRNA from 1 species